CAGCAGCCGCGGUAAUUCCAGCUCCAAUAGCGUAUAUUAAAGUUGUUGCAGUUAAAAAGCUCGUAGUUGAAUUUCGGGGUUAGUAGGUCGGUCAUGCCUCAGGUAUGCACUGGUCUCACUGAUUCCUCCUUCCUGAUGAGCCGUAAUGCCAUUAAUUUGGUGUUGCGGGGAAUCUGGACUGUUACUUUGAAAAAAUUAGAGUGUUUAAAGCAGGCUAACGCUUGAAUACAUUAGCAUGGAAUAAUGGAAUAGGACGUUCGAUCCUAUUUUGUUGGUUUCUAGGAUUGACGUAAUGAUUAAUAGGGAUAGUUGGGGGCAUUAGUAUUCAAUUGUCAGAGGUGAAAUUCUUGGAUUUAUUGAAGAUUAACUACUGCGAAAGCAUUUGCCAAGGAUGUUUUCAUUAAUCAAGAACGAAAGUUAGGGGAUCGAAGACGAUCAGAUACCGUCGUAGUCUUAAUCAUAAACUAUGCCGACUAGGGAUCGGAUGAUGUUAAUUUUUUAAUGACUCAUUCGGCGCCUUACG
rnacentral:rRNA from 1 species